UACGGAGGGGGCUAGCGUUGUUCGGAAUUACUGGGCGUAAAGCGCACGUAGGCGGCUUUGUAAGUUAGAGGUGAAAGCCCAGGGCUUAACCCUGGAAUUGCCUUUAAGACUGCAUCGCUAGAAUCGUGGAGAGGUGAGUGGAAUUCCGAGUGUAGAGGUGAAAUUCGUAGAUAUUCGGAAGAACACCAGUGGCGAAGGCGACUCACUGGACACGUAUUGACGCGUGAGGUGCGAAAAGCGUGGGGAGCAA
rnacentral:rRNA from 1 species